AGAAGAAGAAGAAGAGUUUGGAUUUGAUAUCCCGCCUUUCACUCCCUUUAAGGAGUCUCAAAGCGGCUAACAUUCUCCUUUCCCUUCCUCCCCCACAACAAACACUCUGUGAGGUGAGUGGGGCUGAGAGACUUCAAAGAAGUGUGACUAGCCCAAGGUCACCUAGCAGCUGCAUGUGGAGGAGCGGAGACGCGAACCCGGUUCCCCAGAUUACGAGACUACAGCUCUUAACCACUACACCACACUGGCUCUCAAUUUACAUACUGCUUGAUCAUUAAAAAAAACCCUCUGUUGUUUACAAAAAGAAGCAAACUAAAAGCACUUUACAAAAAUGUGUCAUUGACUUGAAGAUAGUGAAUUAGUGGUAGAUUUAUACUAUACUACAGGGACGCGGGUGGCACUGUGGGUUAAACCACAGAGCCUAGGACUUGCCGAUCAGAAGGUCGGCGGUUCGAAUCCCCGCAAUGGGGUGAGCUUUCGUUGCUCGGUCCCUGCUCCUGCCAACCUAGCAGUUCGAAAGCAUGUCAAAGUGCAAGUAGAUAAAUAGGUACCACUCCAGCGGGAAGGUAAACGGCAUUUCCGUGCGCUGCUCUGGUUUGCCAGAAGCGGCUUACUCAUGCUGGCCACAUGACCUGGAAGCUGUAUGCCGGCUCCCUCGGCCAAUAAAGCGAGAUGAGCGCCGCAACCCCAGAGUCGGUCACGACUGGACCUAAUGGUCAGGGGUCACCUUUACCUUUAUACUAUACUGGACCAUCCAUACAUCAUUCUGCUUUAUUAGUCGUUCUGCAAUGCUUCCCAGAAUAGCUGGGGAAACCCAGCCAGACGGGCGGGGUAUAAAUAAAUUAUGUAUUAUUAUUAUUAUUAUUAUUAUUAUUAUUAUUCCCAAUGUUAUGGCAUCACUGUAGUCUAGAGUGGCACUCCUGGGCUAUAAUGCAACAAAAGUGGAACAAAAAAUGAACAAACCCCAGAACAUUUGCAGUAUGAAAAGUUACAGGGUUUUAUCAGGAAGCCACAGGACAAGCACUGUUUGAAAACAAAGCAGUAUUCCUGCCCCCCCCCCAAAUAUUGCAGCCACAAGCAGCUUUGAAAGCAAUAGCAUGUAUUACCACCCCGACACCAUCAAGAGCACAAAUUUGUAUGAAUGAAAUAAAGAAACAUCUGGAGGGGGCCUAAAUGUGUCUUUAAGGUAUCAUAUGAUUCUUUGCUCUUGCAGCAACAGAGUAACACAGCUACUCCUCUGGAAAUAGUUUUAAAAUUUUAUUAUAUUUAUAUCCCACUUUUCCUCAAUGGUUGUCGUGUGUGCCCGCCCCCACCCACCACCAUUUAUCCUGUAUUUUAGUCUCACAGCCCUGUGCGGUAGGUUAGGCUGAAAGACAGUGACUGGCCCAAGGCCAUCCUGUGAGCUUCAAAACUGUGUAGGAAUUUGAACACAGGUCUCCCAGGCCCUGGUCAUUGUAACGACUAGGCUCUCAGAAAAGAGCAACAGGGGAGAGGGGAAGGAAGGAAGGAAGGAAGGAAGGAAGGAAGGAAGGAAGGAAGGAAGGAAGAAGUCUCAGAAGUGGGUGAGUGCUACUUCUGAAUAUGAAGUGUCCAAUUUGUUGCUCUUUUAUUAAGGUAUGCUUAGUUUCUGGGCUUAAUACAAAGUACUGGUUUUGAGCUAUAAAUCUUCUGCAGCUCAGGACCCCCUGUAUUUUGAGGACUGCCUCUCCCACAUGAACUAAUCUGGACACUACAUUUGUCAUCUGAGGCCCUUCUUCAUGUGCCCUCUCUGUGGGAAGAGUGGAAGGUGGCGCCGCAAGAAUGGACCUUUUUAAUGACUGCCACUUCUGGAAUGCUCUCCACAAGGAAGCAUGCCUGGCACUAUUGUUGUUUGUCGUUAGGUGCCAGAGAAAAAUGUACUUAUUUACCUACUCUUUGGGUUUUUAAUUGGGAGGGUAGUUAGAUAUGUCAGUGGUCUUAGUUCUGCUCAAUUAAGAUAGGACUUGUGCCUUUUAAGUAUAUUUUCAGAUGAGUAUUUUAGCUUUCGUUUACUGUUGUUUUUAUAUCUGAU